UUGAUUAAAGCCAAAAUAGAGGCAGGUCUCUGUUAAAGGCCAAAUUGAAAAUCUAGUCAUU
rnacentral:tRNA from 1 species